rnacentral:rRNA from 1 species
AUGGGUAUUGUUCGGCACCUUGCUAGAACAUGGAGCACUCAGAAGAUGUGGGAGGUGAUGACAUGUUGUGAUGCGGAGCAUCCUACGGUCAUCCCCAUGGACGUACUUUCGUCUCCCAAUACACCACGUGAACCCAUGACUAGAGCUCGUGCAAGGGCUACCGAAACCAAGGUGAACUCGCUCCUCUCCCAACUAACACAUUCCACAUGUGAGACAUGGCUACUACCUCAAGCGGAGACCUUGUGUGUGAUCAGGUACUCGGAGGAAGGUCAUGAAUUUGCUACGACCAAUGGACAAGACGGCGUGGACACCAAGCGCAAGAGGCAAGAGGAAGAGUUGCAGAAGAACUACAGCCACUGGACGACCGACCCUUACUGGACGUCCGGCGCCCUGAAGAUCAGCCAGUGCCACCUAUCCAGAACCAAAAUUCCAGAAGACCGAAGUCUUCCAGACACCCGAGACACCGGAUGUCCGACAUUCACCGGAAAUCCGACGACGCCUGUCCAGAACCAUAUCACCGGAUGUCCGGCACCCUCCAGAUGGCCGGACGCUCGCGAGCCAUCGGACGACCGGUAA